AAUGGUUUCAACAAACAAUGGUCGUCCUGGAACCAAUUAAUAUUGUAACUCGAGGGACCACUGUACAUCAAUAUACCUUACCUUUGUGGAUCUUCUAUGUAAAAUGGCUACAGUUGAUCAAUAAGUUAAGUGCUGCUCAUACCAAUCGGGAAUGUUUCCACAGAAUUCUAAUAAUAAUUCAAUACUGACAAAUUGCUGAUCUACUUUUACUCUUCUUUUGCAGAUAAUAAGCAUUCAAUGUACGUAUUGACUAAUGCUUAUGGCCUAACCUUGAUCUACACAGCUACACGUAUUUUAUACUCCUCACAGUAAGAGCAGGAGAGGUUUGCUGUGGUGAUUUGCUUCUACUCCGGACAGUCCCCGAUAUGGACAGAGGUGUCAGCAGAGAGCACUGCGGUCUGACUAGAAAGGACUACACAAAUUCCUCUGGAGCAUAAAGCAGCUGAUAACCAUUGACAUGUCGUCGAGGUUAACACGUGUGGAGAGGAUAGAAAUUGUGUUGAUGUCUGGUGAACGCAGUAACCGGGUCAUUGCAGCAGAUUUCAAUGCAAGACACCCUACGAGACCACCCAUCUCCCAUGCUACAGUUAGCAAACUGCUUGCUAAGUUUUGGGAAACUGGUUCAGUGUUGGAUUUGCCAAAAUGUGAACACAUGAAAUCUGUCACUAAUGAAGAAACAUAAGUGGCUGUCCUAGCUUCAUUCAGCAAGAGGCCACAGCGUAGCACUCACCGCAUGUCACUGGAGAGUGGCAUUAGUCCAAUAUCCCUUCGGCAGAUAUUAGCUACUCACAAAUGGCACCCUUACAAACUCCAAUUACUGCAGCAUGUCAACGAGGAUGACCCAGAUCGGCGCACUGAAUUUGCAGAAUGGGCAAAACAAAAAUUUAAACAGGACCCUCAGUUUAUGCAGAAGAUUUUCUUCAGUGAUGAGGCAAACUUUUAUGUGAAUGGUGAAGUUAACAAACAAAACCACCAUCUGACACUAACCCACAUUGCAUAGAUCCCUCCGAGACUGUUGGAACACAAACAUUGAUGGUAUGGUGUGGUAUAUGGGGUACAAAGAUAGUGGGGCCAUUCUUCAUCUUCAUGGAAACCUCAAGGCCACUGGAUAUGUGAAAUAGCUACAUGAUGAUGUGUUUCCCUCUUUAUGCACUGAAGAUGGCACGUUCCCUGAGUUUUUCCAGCAAGAUGGUGACCACCACAUUAUGGGUGUCAGGUCCGAGCAUUUCUAGAUGAACAGUUUCCUGGAAAGUGGAUUGGUCGUCGUGGGCCAGUUGAAUGGCCCCCAAGGUCACCCGAUCUGACCCCCUUAGACUUUUAUCUUUGGGGUCAUCUGAAGGCAAUUGUCUAUGCUGUGAAGAUACGAGAUGUGCAGCACCUGAAACUACGGAUACUGGAAGCCUGUGCUAGCCUGUGCCUCCAGGAGGCCGGAAGAAGCGCACCUGUAUGCGUGAAACCGCCGGCAGUCGCCUCUGAGCACCCCACGCCACUCUUGUCUUCCUUGCCGGAUUGAGCAGCCCGAGAUGGGAGCCAAAAUCUCAAUAUCUGGACGGUGAGUGCAGGAUGCCGGUUUUUCUUUGCUGCAUAUGUGUA